UGUCCCUUAUAUGUAGAUUAAAUCUUAUUUAAAAUAGAAUUUAAAUUUAAUUUAAAUUUAUGAUAAGAUCAAAGGCUGUUUUGAAGCUGAACCAGAUUAUCCAAACAUUACAUGGGAUGCCACCUUUAAGAAGGGCUAGUUUUUGUGUGCCAAACCACUUAAAAUUUAGCAUGAAAAAACCUUAGAGAGUGUGUGAGAGAUCUAAGAAAGAUGGGUGGGUGUCUGUGCAUGAGAAAAAGAGGAAGAAGAUCCUCUUUGGGGUAUGAGAUCUAGGGUGGGGGUUCUAGGGUUUCCUAGUUCCUAUUUUGUGAGAAAAAAAAUAUAUAUUUUUCUUCUUCCACACCAUUUUCUCCUUGAAAAGCUCUUUUUUUUUAUCUGGAGGUAUCCAUUUGAUCUAAAAAAAGGAGUCUCCAUCAGCCAUCAAGAGCCUUCAUCGCAAGCUAGCACUCCUGAGGAGGAUGAUCUGCUCGAGGUUUCGAGUAGAUCACCUGUAGAGGCCAGACAUGCUGUGCAACUACUCAACAUUAGAAAGUACCUCCUAUCAUAUUCAUCAGAAAUGAUGAUCAUCAAUCCAUAAUC
rnacentral:lncRNA from 1 species